rnacentral:ncRNA from 1 species
GGGAGCCGGAUGAGUCGAGAGGUUCACGUCCGGUUCUGGGAGAGCCAGGGGGUGAGAUUCCCCCUGGCCACUCACC